UCGGCGUUUUAAAAUGACCCCACAAACAAGCAACCUGAGGGUUUAAACACAGUGGUUUAAAACGUUCUUACAAACAGUGGUUUAAGAUGUUCUUUAAAAUGUUCUUACAGUGGUUUAAUAUGUUCUUUAAAAUGUUCUUACAGUGGUUUAAGAUGUUCUUUAAAAUGUUCUUACAGUGGUUUAAAAGGUCAUUUUAAAAUGUUUCUACAGUGGUUUAAUAUGUUCUUUAAAAUGUUCUUACAUUGGUUUAAGAUGUUCUUUAAAAUGUUCUUACAGUGGUUUAAAAGGUUAUUUUAAAAUGUUUCUACAGUGGUUUAAUAUGUUCUUACAAACAGUGGUUUAAGAUAAUCAGGAUCGCUUUAACUCACUUUAUUUGGUAAUGUUUUCGACUAGUCUCUAUGAAGCAAAAGGAGGGGAAUUGCAUGAGCACGCGUGGAGAUACACUUAGUAGGGCAUCUGAAGGAUGCGUUACCUGGAGCGUUGUAGCCCCCUGGGCUAUGUGUUGUGACUUAUCUACUGGGCAGGCGUGGACUCAGUUAUGUGCUCUGAUUGGCUAGGCAUGGUGCUGAACUCCCACCCCCCUGGAUACCCGUAUGUGUCUUUAUGCUGGCCCUUGCGGCUAUGUGUUGGCAUUGCAACUUUGUUUGUGGCUAUGUGCGGGAAUUACACUUGUUCUUGUGGCCUUGAGCAUCUGGGUCUCUCGAACAUCUUGACCGCUCGUAUCUCUAGAAUUGACACAUGAUGAAUGGCCUCCUUUAUGAGCUGGACGCCUCCCUAGGCUCGGGAUCCCUCCUUAGCGUGAGAAAGAAGCCUCUUUAAUUGGCAAGGGCAUAUGUGGCCUUGGUAUGAAUGUGUGAAUUAUGUUACAGUUUAAAAUGUUCUUUUAAAAUGUUUCUACAGUGGUUUAAAACGUUCUUACAGUGGUUUAAGAAGUUCUUUAUAAUGUUCUUACAGUGGUUUAAAAUGUUAAUGAAAAGGUUCUUACAGUGGUUUAAGAUGUUCUCAAAAACAGUGGUUUAAAAUGCUCUUACAAACAGUAGUUUAAAAUGUCCUCAAAAACAGCGGAUAUAAAUGUCUGUACAAACAGUGGUUUAAAAUGGGUCCACAAACAUUAUGACGUUAUAAUAAACGAUACAGUCAAUUUGUAUAGUGUGGUUAAGCACACAUUGCAAAGUACAA